CUGAAAGUCUAUGAAGUGGUCAAAAGUUGUGACUGCACAGGUCAUGAUGUGUCCAGAGUGUUUUUUUGUUUGUUUGUUUUUUUGUGGUCGGCGUGUGUAUAUCAGGGUACAGGAAGUAAAGGAUUAAUCAAACAAGUGCUUUAGUUGGUCCUUGGGCUCUCCAGAAAUAUAUUUAGACUUCUCAGAAAAAAUAGAGCACACAGUGCAAAGAAGAAGAACAUAAUGCUCAUUAUGGGAAACAGGCUCAGCAGAAGGCGAGAAACCCCAGCCAGCACCCAUGAAACUGUGGCUGUUGAAGAGAAGACCACAAAGGAGCCAGGAAACGACUCUGCAGUUACACAGACUCACGAAGCCGCCAAAACGGAGGAUCUAGAUGUGGUGGUGGGAGAGCCAGUGACACCAGUGGCAUGUUUACCCAAUGAAGAAUGUGUCGCGGAUUUUAAAGAAGCAGAGGCUUCCAGUGCCUCAGCCCCGAAAAAUGAUACAGAACCAGCACCUAUGGUAAAGGAAGCCCCAGUCCAACCUGAACCUCAGGUCUCAGCCAGCACACCUUCACCUUCAGAACCAGCUGCUGAAGCUGAGCUUGCUCCUGACUCCGAACCAGACAUUGAGAUAGUCCAGCCCAGCUCAGAGCCAGCACCACCCUCAGUGGAGCAUCUGGAGCAGCAGCCGGAUCAACUAACACAAGAUUCUCUCCAUGAACCGGUUCUUUCUUCGCCCCCUUUGACCAACUCUGGUUCCCCUGAUUUCGCGCCCUCCCAAGAUCCCAUCCCUGUCCCAGUCAAUCCAGACGAGCCAUCAGACCUCCCAGCUGGUGAGGAAUGCCAAGAUGGGGAUGAGGCUGCUGACAUUUCCAUGCUUGAGCCAGAGAAGCCAGCAGAAGCGCAUCUGGAAAAGCCGAUGGAGGUGGAGGCUGAAGAGAGUUUGGAGAAGCUUGGAAGUGAUGUCAACGAGGAAAGCAUUAGUGAAACCCCAAAGAACUCGGAGCUGAGAGGAAAUGACCUUGGCAGUGACCUCAUUCCAAGAGAUGUCAAUGUCCCUGAUGACACUCCCAUCACAGACAUGAGCACAUCUACUGAGCUGAUGUGAAUCCAUCAGAGGAUUCAUGAAGGAAGUGAAACCCUCUAAAUCUAAAUUGUGUAUGGAUCUAAAAACAGUGGUUUGUCUCACCCAAGUGCCCACAUUAAUGCCAAUAGAGCCUUUUUUUUAAUGUUAAAUGAACCAAAGGUGCCAAAAAGCAGUGUGUGUGUACAUGUGUGUGUUGUGAUGGAAAGAAGAGUGACCUAGAAUGCUUCAUUAUUAGACAGAUCUUCAUCUGUGAAGAUCCAGGCAGAAAUUAAAUGUGUCUUGUAUAUAUUUGAGCAGUUUUCUUUUUUGUUUAAAAAAAAAAUAGCAACAAAAAGAAAAAUGAAAAGAAGGUUAAUGAAAUAAAUGUAAAGGACAAAGAAUGCAACUUCAGCUGGAAACGGCAUGUGCAUUCCACAACUGGUUACGAGUAUCUACUACACAUUUAUGAAUUAACAUAGUAAUACUUGGCAUUUUCAAUAAUCCACUAAUCAGAAUGAUUGUCAUCUUAUGUAAUUUUAAAUAAAAUAAAUGAAUUUUCAAUGUCAAGUAGUUGCCUUUGACAAUAAACUGGCAUUUACACAUCAAAAUCUUGCUCCCUGUUUUUCCAAAGGUAUAUUUUAUAGUAUCUGGUCACACUGAAGAUUCUGGGAAUAGAUUUUUGUGGGGGAAGAAAAAUAGGAGAUACUCUGGGCAUGUUUGACAAACUACUACAUGUACGGGGCACUCUGCAAAUGGCAAUAGAAAUCUAUGUAGCAAAUCCCAGUUCAUUUAAGAGGGACUGGAGCUUCUCACUGUCUCGUGGGAG
ensembl:lncRNA